rnacentral:rRNA from 1 species
GACGAACGCUGGCGGCGUGCUUAACACAUGCAAGUCGAACGGAAAGACCCGGCUUUUGUUUGGUUCUCGUUUGGCAAACAGGUGAGUAACACAUGAGUAACCUGCCCUUAACUGUGUGAUAACUUCAGGAAACUGGGUCUCUUACCGGAGAUGAUCUCCUGCUGCAUGGUGUUGGUUAGAAAGUGUCGGCGGUUGGGGAUGUACUCGCGGCUUAUCAGCUGCUUGGUGGGGUAGUUGUGUACCAAGGCUUUGACGGGUAGCCCGCCUGAGAGGGUUACCGGCGACCAUGGGACUGAGAGACGGAGCAGAAGGCUACGGGAGGCAGCAGGGGGGAAUAUUGCACAACGGGGGGACGCCUGAUGCAGAAACGCCGCGUGCGGAAUGCCGGCCUACGGGUUGUAAACAGAUUUCGAAUGUGCCGAAGAGUGCGUGACGGUAAUGGGUAAAGAAGCAACGGCUAACUACGUG